CGUACUAGUCGGGGAGUUAGCGGUGCCCUGUACCUGCAAUCCGCUACAGCAGGGGCGAAAUCCCUUUUGAGGGCUUUUCUUGUAUAGCAGGCUUUUGUGAGCAGUGAUGACGGCCGGGUCCCGCGCAAUACGAACCCGUGAACCUCGUCAGGUAGGGAACUAAGCAGCGAUAAGCGGUCAUUUGUGUGUGCCGCGGGGAAACUCGGCAAUAGCAAGCUGCAAAAAUA
rnacentral:SRP_RNA from 1 species